GUUGUCUCUGGCCCCUGAAGGUCUAGUUGUCUCUGGGGUCUAGUUGUCUCUGGCCCCUGAAGGUCUAGUUGUCUCUGGGGUCUAGUUGUCUCUGGCCUCUGAAGGUCUAGUUGUCUCUGGGGUCUAGUUGUCUCUGGCCUCUGAAGGUGAAGCUCGAGACGGAUGACGUUCUCACUGAGGUUCCCUUUUCUCCCCAUGGGAGGCGUUUUCAUCUGGGGGAGUCGAUGUGAAGGUUUCAGGACGGAGGUUCUUCUUGUGUUCAGACUCUGAGGCUAAUUUGUCAUUUGCGAUUUUGGGCUCUACAAAAUAAAAUGAAUUGAAGGGUCUAGUUGUCUCUGGCCCCUGAAGGUCUGUGUUAUGAAGGUUUCAGGACGGAGGUUCUUCUUGUGAAAUAAAAUGAAUUGAAGGUCUAGUAAUUGUGGGCUCUGACUGACUGUCUGACCAAUGAAUGAGCAACGCCGCUGUAAGCCCCGCCCACGCUGCCCCGUCUGUUUGUCAGCAGAGCAAACAGACGAGGUCCAAGUUACAGCACUCUCAGUCCAGGUCCUUCAUGAGUCUCCUGGUGAGGACCUUCGUCAAUACUCAGGAGAUCUAUUGAUCCACAGGAAACAUCUGAAGGUCAACGAGUGAAACAUCAAAGUCCUGAAGAUUCAGUUCUUAGCCCUGAUUAUAUUCUUUGAUGAGUCUAUUGAUCAGUCUGAUAGUAAAUACAGUGAAACUGGUCUGAAGCAGGAUAAUUAUGUCAUUCAAUGUGGAUCAAUACAGUUAAAGUACUAAUGCUACCUGACGCUGGACAGGUGAGUGUGACAUCAUCAUCUACGUCAUCAUCUUCUUCCACUCCACCCUCAG
ensembl:lncRNA